ACCCGCUGAACUUAAGCGGCAACAGCUCAAAUUUGAAAUCUGGCGUCUUCGGCGUCCGAGUUGUAAUUUGCAGAGGGCGCUUUGGCAUUGGCAGCGGUCCAAGUUCCUUGGAACAGGACGUCACAGAGGGUGAGAAUCCCGUACGUGGUCGCUAGCCUUUACCGUGUAAAGCCCCUUCGACGAGUCGAGUUGUUUGGGAAUGCAGCUCUAAAUGGGAGGUAAAUUUCUUCUAAAGCUAAAUACUGGCCAGAGACCGAUAGCGCACAAGUAGAGUGAUCGAAAGAUGAAAAGCACUUUGGAAAGAGAGUUAAAAAGCACGUGAAAUUGUUGAAAGGGAAGCGCUUGCAGCCAGACUUGCCUGUAGUUGCUCAUCCGGGUUUCUACCCGGUGCACUCUUCUACGGGCAGGCCAGCAUCAGUUUGGGCGGUUGGAUAAAGGUCUCUGUCAUGUACCUCUCUUCGGGGAGAACUUAUAGGGGAGACGACAUGCAACCAGCCUGGACUGAGGUCCGCGCAUCUGCUAGGAUGCUGGCGUAAUGGCUGUAAGCGGCCCGUCUUGAAACACGGACCAAGGAGUCUAACAUCUAUGCGAGUGUUUGGGUGUCAAGCCCGAGCGCGUAAUGAAAGUGAACGGAGGUGGGAACCUUUCGGGGUGCACCAUCGACCGAUCCUGAUGUCUUCGGAUGGAUUUGAGUAAGAGCAUAGCUGUUGGGACCCGAAAGAUGGUGAACUAUGCUUGAAUAGGGUGAAGUUUCCCUCAGGAU
rnacentral:rRNA from 1 species